AAAGGAGCCAUGGACCUCCUCUGUGAAGCUGGGGCUCCGCCAGCCCUGGAAGUGGGCCUACUCAGCAGCUCUUCUUUUUCUUGUUUACAAACCACCUCGCCACCAGCCUGGGGUUUUGGCAGCUGAUUCGUGGGCACGAUGAGAAAAUCGAGGCUCCAAGACAAUAAGGAAGGGCCCAAGGUCUCUUAAAUGGGAAAGCCCAGUCUGAAUGUCAGAUUCCCAGGCUCAAGGUCUUCACCAAAGCACAUACGGAGGGGCCACAGAAGAUCCGUUUUACCCUGAGCGAGUCAUCUCACUUAUGAAAUGAACUAAGAAAACUGGAAAUGAACUAAGAUUUCUCUUACAAGUUGUUGUGAGCACCUGCUGAGUUGAGGUCUGGACUCUACUUACCUCUGAAAGGAAGACAAGAAGAAAACAUUCAGUAAUGAAACCAAGAAAGAAAGCUAUGCACACGUACAGCUAAUAGGUCGUUCAUUUGCUGCUGCACAGAACUAUUGCAAUAUGACUUAAAUGAGGGGUCAUUCAGAAAACCAACAGCAGAUUUGGGCGCACUGAAGGCGAGAGUUAAAAGGGGACUCAAGGACCAUCCAGUGGGACCUUAUGUUGUCAUGUUAUAGGCGUGUGGCUAAGGUCCAAAGGGUUGAAGGAUCUCCGGGAGACGGUAGGCGAGCACAGCGUCACACUCCACCCCAGGAAUCUUUCAGACACGUUUACCUUGAGCUCUGGAGGUGCCCAGAACCUCACCUGUGCAGUAGACAGGGAACUCCCUGCACAUCCAGCCCCGCCUGCUGUUCUGCAUGGCUGUCAGGGGCUUGGGAUGUGUCGGCCCUGCUGGUGUGUUAGUCUGCCAGUAAAUAAAGGGCCGCAACCCAAUGGGACUUGAACUCUUCAGAAGGCCGCUGAGGAAGCAAAGUCUCCCAGGACCAGGAUUUCGCUGUGUGUGGCUCCAGGAUGGUCCAGGGAAGGAGGGGAGGCGGGCACUCACCUCUCUUAGACUUACAGAGACAAGUCUUUAAAUUUGGGGAAGUAAAAUGUCCGACUACAAUACUCACUCCUGGCUCCUAGCAGAUGUGUGUCCCUUAACUGGACCAAACACAAAAACAUUUGACUACACAUUGAAGCCCUCUUUGCUCAGAGUGCUGGAAAGCAGGAUAUCUUUUCUUUUAUAGCUAUCAUUUUAAUGGAAUUUAAAGAACAAAAUAAACAAAUAAAACAGAAAAGUCUCACAGCCCUAGCCAGUUUUGCUCAGUGGAUAGAGCAAUGGACUGUGGACCAAAGAUCCCGUGUUCGAUUCAGGUCAAGAGCACGCACCUCGGUUGCAGGCUUCUCCGUGGCCCAGGCCCUGGUCGGAACGCUUGCAGGAGGCAACCAAUCAAUGUGG